rnacentral:tRNA from 1 species
GGGUGUAGAGCUCAGUGGUAGAGUGAGUGCUUAGCAUGCACAAGGUCCUGGGUUCAAUUCCCAGUACCUCCG